UACGAAGGGUGCUAGCGUUGUUCGGAAUCACUGGGCGUAAAGCGCACGUAGGCGGUCCGCACCAGUCAGGCGUGAAAGCCCCAGGCUCAACCUGGGAAUUGCGCUUGAUACUAGCGGGCUAGAGUCCGGGAGAGGAUAGUGGAAUUCCCAGUGUAGAGGUGAAAUUCGUAGAUAUUGGGAAGAACACCAGUGGCGAAGGCGGCUAUCUGGACCGGUACUGACGCUGAGGUGCGAAAGCGUGGGGAGCAAACAGG
rnacentral:rRNA from 1 species